AUCAGAGCCCUGGAAAAUGAAUUCCUCUCCUUACCCACAAAACCAGUACAGCACAAGCAGAGGGUGUGUGAGCUUCCCCACUCCACCCCAUCCUUGUGUCUCAUCCAUGACCUAGAGGGGCAACCUCUAGAUAGGCAUAAGUGGGUGGCUCAGUCUCUGUACUUAUUUAAUCCUUGGCCAAC
ensembl:misc_RNA